UGGUGAGUAACACGUAAGAAAUCUGCCUAUCAGAGGGGAAUAACAGUGAGAAAUCAUUGCUAAUACCGCAUAUGCCAUAGUUAUCGCAUGAUAAUAGUGGGAAAGGAGCAAUCCGCUGAUAGAUGAGCUUGCGUCUGAUUAGCUAGUUGGUGGGGUAACGGCCUACCAAGGCGACGAUCAGUAGCCGGACUGAGAGGUUGAACGGCCACAUUGGGACUGAGAUACGGCCCAGACUCCUACGGGAGGCAGCAGUCGGGAAUAUUGCGCAAUGGAGGAAACUCUGACGCAGUGACGCCGCGUAUAGGAAGAAGGUUUUCGGAUUGUAAACUAUUGUCCACAGGGAAGAUAAAAGACUGUACCUGUGAAGAAAGCUCCGGCUAACUACGUGCCAGCAGCCGCGGUAAUACGUAGGGAGCAAGCGUUAUCCGGAAUUAUUGGGUGUAAAGGGUGCGUAGACGGGAUAACAAGUUGGUUGUGAAACCCCUCGGCUCAACUGAGGAACUGCAACCAAAACUAUUAUUCUUGAGUGCAGGAGAGGAAAGUGGAAUUCCUAGUGUAGCGGUGAAAUGCGUAGAUAUUAGGAAGAACACCGGUGGCGAAGGCGACUUUCUGGACUGUAACUGACGUUGAGGCACGAAAGUGUGGGGAGCAAACAGGAUUAGAUACCCUGGUAGUCCACACUGUAAACGAU
rnacentral:rRNA from 1 species